rnacentral:rRNA from 1 species
GACGAACGCUGGCGGCGUGCUUAACACAUGCAAGUCGAACGGAAAGGCCCUGCUGUUGUGGGGUGCUCGAGUGGCGAACGGGUGAGUAACACGUGAGUAACCUGCCCUUGACUUUGGGAUAACUUCAGGAAACUGGGGCUAAUACCGGAUAGGAGCUCCUGCUGCAUGGUGGGGGUUGGAAAGUUUCGGCGGUUGGGGAGGGACUCGCGGCUUAUCAGCUUGUUGGUGGGGUAGUGGCUUACCAAGGCUUUGACGGGUAGCCGGCCUGAGAGGGUGGCCGGCCACAGUGAGACUGAGAUACGGCCCGGACUCCUACGGGAGGCAGCAGUGGGGAAUAUUGCACAAUGGGCGGAAGCCUGAUGCGGCAACGCCGCGUGCUGGAUGACGGCCUUCGGGUUGUAAGCCGCUUUCGCCUGUGACGAAGCGUGAGUGACGGUAAUGGGUAAAGAAGCACCGGCUAACUACGUG